GAAGUGGUGCAGUCAUAGCUUACUGUAGUCUUGACCUACUGGGCUCAAGCAAUCCUCCUGCCUCAGCCUCCUGAGUAACUAGGACUACAGGGCAGCCUUGAACAUACCAGGAAGCAAUAGGAAAAAACUGGAGAAAGUGAAAAGGCUGCGAUGAAGGAAAAGAGGAGACAAACAAGGGUGACAUUGGCUGGGCAGCAAAGAUGACCAAAAGGUAAGAGGAUAAAAAGAAGCAGUCUGCGGGAUUCAGAAGCAAAUAGUCAGAAAUAGUGAUGAAGAAACAGAGUUGUCCCAGAAUAGAGGCCAUAAAGGACCAGGGUAGGAGAGAAAAAGGGGGGACCCACAAAAUUAACACCUUCAAAGUUCUUGAUCCUGUGAUUUUUAGUCUGAUCUCAAAAUCAGACCAUUGAGUUGGAUUUUACUCCUGAUUUAUUUACCCUUGAUUAUGUUGAGUAAAUAGUGAUAUAUCUAAUAAGUAUUAUUUACAAUGAUUUUCUCCCCCCAUACCACCAAUGACUUAAAAUGAAAUAUUUCAAGAGGUGAAGGAAUUAAAAUGUUAGAAAUAUAUUAGGAAUAUGGAGGGUAACUGCAGCAAUCUCAUAGCAUACACACCUUUCAUUAUAUAACCAGGCCAAGAAGCCUGUGCUGUUCCAGUAUUGAUCCGGUGCUCCUCCGUCACCAUCCGACCACAGAACCUCAGGCUGAUAGUUGUUCACUAACUCAUAGAGCUCUGGCAAUGUCUUAGAAACUGGAAAUUGCCGCUUAUGGAAUGAACUGGAUUCAUCCUCAAGGAAGAGCGGAUGAAACCAUUCAAAAAGGGAAUAGUACAGUCCAAAACGCAGGUUCUGGCUCUGUCACCCAGGCUGGAGUUCAGUGGUGCGAACUUCGCUCACUGCAUCCUCGAC
ensembl:lncRNA novel transcript